rnacentral:pre_miRNA from 1 species
AGUGAGAUAACUGGGGCAAAUGAUAGUCCAUUCAAAGUUUUAUGAGGAAUUGCCAUACUGCUUUCCAGAGUGGUUGUACCAAUUUGCAGUCCCACCAGCAAU